rnacentral:rRNA from 1 species
CCUACGGGAGGCAGCAGUGAGGAAUAUUGGUCAAUGGACGAGAGUCUGAACCAGCCAAGUAGCGUGAAGGAUGACUGCCCUAUGGGUUGUAAACUUCUUUUAUAUGGGAAUAAAACGCUCCACGUGUGGGAUUUUGUAUGUACCAUAUGAAUAAGGAUCGGCUAACUCCGUGCCAGCAGCCGCGGUAAUACGGAGGAUCCGAGCGUUAUCCGGAUUUAUUGGGUUUAAAGGGAGCGUAGGUGGAUUGUUAAGUCAGUUGUGAAAGUUUGCGGCUCAACCGUAAAAUUGCAGUUGAAACUGGCAGUCUUGAGUACAGUAGAGGUGGGCGGAAUUCGUGGUGUAGCGGUGAAAUGCUUAGAUAUCACGAAGAACUCCGAUUGCGAAGGCAGUUCACUGGACUGCAACUGACACUGAGGCUCGAAAGUGUGGGUAUCAAACAGGAUUAGAUACCCCAGUAGUC